rnacentral:rRNA from 1 species
UACGUAGGGGGCGAGCGUUGUCCGGAUUUAUUGGGCGUAAAGAGCUCGUAGGCGGUUUGGUAAGUCGGAUGUGAAAUCUCCAGGCUCAACCUGGAGGGGUCAUUCGAUACUGCCAUGACUAGAGUUCGGUAGGGGUGCGUGGAAUUCCUGGUGGAGCGGUGAAAUGCGCAGAGAUCAGGAGGAACACCCGUAGCGAAGGCGGCACACUGGGCCGAUACUGA